rnacentral:rRNA from 1 species
AUUUGUGGUUACAACACCCUGAAUUCAUCUGAUCUUAGAAGCUGCACAGGGUUGGGCUUGGUUAGUACUUGGAUGGAGGUUACAGUGAGAAUCACCAUGCUAUUGAAAUUU